GACGAACGCUGGCGGCAGGCUUAACACAUGCAAGUCGAGCGAGCGGCGGACGGGUGAGUAAUGUCUGGGAAACUGACUGAUGGAGGGGGAUAACUACUGGAAACGGUAGCUAAUACCGCAUACCAUCAUAUGUACCCAGAUGGGAGUAGCUAGUAGGUGGGGUAAUGGCUCACCUAGGCGACGAUCCCUAGCUGGUCUGAUAGGAUGACCAGCCACACUGGAACUGAGAAACGGCCCAGACUCCGACGGGAGGCAGCAGUGGGGAAUAUUGCACAAUGGGCGCAAGCCUGAUGCAGCCAUGCCGCGUGUGUGAAGAAGGCCUUCGGGUUGUAAAGCACUUUCAGCGAGGAGGCGUUACUCGCAGAAGAAGCACCGGCUAACUCCGUGCCAGCAGCCGCGGUAAUAC
rnacentral:rRNA from 1 species